rnacentral:lncRNA from 1 species
CUAGGGGAGCCAGUAAAGAUUAAAUGUGCUUCUCAAAGGCAGCCACUUCAUGCUGCUAUGUCGAAAGGGCCAUUAUUAUUAUUAUAUUUUAAUGGUAAAAGAGAAAAGGAGAGAGGUUGAGCGAGCGAGAGAGAAGCUAGGUGUGAUGAUGACAGACUAGCUUUUCUGAGAGGAAAAGGAAAAGGGAAGGGAGAGAAAAAGGAGAGCCUCUGAGCUCAACGGAGGAUUGUGCCUGAGAAGAACCCACAGAGGAGGCUGUGCGGGCCCCGCUCCGCUUCGAAUGGUUGUGUUGAUGUUCCUUUCAGCUGGUCCUAUAGUACCCCUCCUCAGGAAUGUCUCCCCAGUGCAAGGACAAAGACUGAAGAGACUGCUAUAUUGAUGGACUCUCAAGCCAACUAUGAAGUUGAAACAAAGAAAGUGAUCACCUGAAGACACCUCCUCUGCUAAGAAACACCCCCAAAUUGUGCAGCUUCUGCCACUAGAACUCUCAGAACAAGAGACAAUCUUUUCAAGAAACAGAAAAACUCAAUAAUGACAUCUAGAUUUUCAUGAGCCAAGAACUUUCCCUUCCUCAUGUGUAUUCCUCUGUUUGUACUUAAAUUCAUGUGACAUUCAUUUUUUUCCUAGUAUGGAUAUGCUUAUUAAUGCACUUGUUUCAAAAUCCCAAAUUGCACAAAUGUGUUAAUAUUUUAAGAAACAAAAUGAAUCCUACAAGGAGAAUGAUUUUUAGCCACACAUAGGGUUGGAUCUUGAGAGUGACCUACAGAAUAAAAGUACUUUUAAAAUAAAGUAGUCAGAGGCUAUUCAAAGGGUAAAAUAAUCAUAGUACCACAUUGGUCCACUUGACACUAACCAAUCGAUCAUUUUUUUUUAAUCAAGAAAGCUAGAUUCUAUCAGAUAAAAUCACUGCUUCUAAAGAGUUUAAAUCUAGUUAGAAAAAGUUAUAGAAAUGUUUGCAAAGAUAAGUAAC